ACUUUCCAAGCUCAAUAUUUCCUUUAUACCAUUUUUAAUGUCAUCACAACAUAACAACCAAAACUACAUUAGUGUUCUUUAGAUCGCCUCUGACCAUUCCACACUUUCUCUGUUAGAAAUAUUGUUCCAGUUUUCACUUUAGAACAUGUUUCAGCAGGAAAAGUCUGUGAAACAAAGGCACAUUCCUCUGGUGAACACUAGAGAGGGAGAUGCUGAAUGUUCUGUCCUUGAUUUACAACACGGUGUAAGUUGUUAUAAACCCCACCAGUUCUCUCCUCCUGAGGGUCUGGUUGAAGUCAUUCAUUGCGAACUUGAUCUGACCUAUCUGGAUCCUCACAAGACAGUCAUGACAAUAUAAGUAAUCCAUCAAACUAAUGUUCUUUGAUUCGCACAGAUUCUUCUAAUGCCAGCAGCAGUUUUGUGAAUGUGACCGGGCUGCCAUUGAGUGCAUGGUUCAAAAGUCCCUACAACUCUGCCAUGACAGGCCUUGCUGGACAAUACUGUUCAAUAGAAAAACAAACAGGUACUUCCUGCUUCCUGUUUUUUUAACAGCUCCUGAGUUAUGCUAAUAGCUAAUCUAAUCAUUCCAGGUGUGCCUGCUUUGUAUUGUAGUUCCUUGAACAUGAAUGUGAAAGCGUGCUGUUUUCACAUACCGUAUGUAAACACUCAUAUGGUGCUGGAGAUAAUAUGAAGUUGAAAAGUGGUGGAAUUUCCCUUUAAACUUGAUUUUGUGCUUUUAGUUGCAGAUUGGGGACAGGUGGAGCUGUUUGGGUCGUUAAGGUGACAAGUUGCACCUGAGUUUGGGAUCAACUAGGAGAUAAAAGUUCCUGGUGCCCAGUCCUGGCUUUCUCGCCACAAGCACUGUUUUGAUAUGGUUGUUGGGCUUUUUAAUUAGGUGCACCCUUCCACACUUACACACGGUUUACCUUCAUCAUGCAUCUCCAUUACAUGCCUACUGUCACACUUCACAGCUCUGCCAACCAGGCUCGGUGGGUGACAGGUAAGUGUUUCCACCAAGCUGUUCAAUGCCUGGAGUGGCACGCUGGAACUUCCAGAGGCUUGUAGACCUGAAGCAGUGUGAUGUGAUACAGCUCAACCACAGUCUUCACAGCUGGAGUCGUGUGCCCUGCAACUGCUAAACUGGCCAUGAAAGGUGAUACAGAUCUGCCACCAGGUUUUCAGCUGCAGUCACUAGUCCUCUGCUGUGGUAUUUAAUUUACCGGCUGCACCAGUUCUUACUACACUGGCCACGGUGAGGAAUACCCAGAUGGAUACAGAUCUGCCAUGCACUCCACCACUGCCCGACAGCCUCACCCAGAAGGGAAAUACACUGGGCCUAUCGAGACUGACAAAGCAGAGAUGGGUGGCUAACUAGAGAAAAUAAAACGUAUACACUCUCACACACAUUUGAUUUUGAUUAGUAUGUAAAUAUAUUGUGAUUACUUGUUUAUUUUAUAUGUAUGCUCCAUUUUAUUAUGAUUGGAAAUAUUUAGUCCUACAGAUUGUGUUAUCCAUUUCCCACAAUGGACAUGUGCAGUUGUGCUUACUCACAGUCCAAGUCAUUGUUUUACAGUCUCAAGUCCUAAACUUUGAUUUUCGAGAACUAAACAAGUUACAACGUGCUCUUCA